AUGAACGCUAGCGGCAGGCUUAACACAUGCAAGUCGAGGGGUAUAGGUUUCGGACCUAGAGACCGGCGCACGGGUGCGUAACGCGUAUGCAAUCUACCUUUCACAGAGGGAUAGCCCAGAGAAAUUUGGAUUAAUACCUCAUAGUAUUAUAGAAUGGCAUCAUUUUAUAAUUAAAGUCACAACGGUGAAAGAUGAGCAUGCGUCCCAUUAGCUAGUUGGUAUGGUAACGGCAUACCAAGGCAACGAUGGGUAGGGGUCCUGAGAGGGAGAUCCCCCACACUGGUACUGAGACACGGACCAGACUCCUACGGGAGGCAGCAGUGAGGAAUAUUGGUCAAUGGGCGCAAGCCUGAACCAGCCAUGCCGCGUGCAGGAUGACGGUCCUAUGGAUUGUAAACUGCUUUUGCACAGGAAGAAACAACGCUACGUGUAGCGUCUUGACGGUACUGUGAGAAUAAGGAUCGGCUAACUCCGUG
rnacentral:rRNA from 1 species